UCGCACCUACCGAUUGAGUGAUCCGGUGAGGCGUCAGGAAUUUGAUUGAUUUCCUUUAUUGGAAUUUGAUCGAGUGAAUCUCGCCGAACCUUAUCACUUAGAGGAAGGUG
rnacentral:rRNA from 1 species